GCAGGCCUAACACAUGCAAGUCGAGCGCGCCUUCGGGUGAGCGGCGGACGGGUUAGUAACGCGUGGGAACGUGCCCUUCUCUACGGAAUAGCCUCUGGAAACGGAGAGUAAUACCGUAUACGCCCUUUGGGGGAAAGAUUUAUCGGAGAAGGAUCGGCCCGCGUUAGAUUAGGUAGUUGGUGGGGUAUGGCCUCCAAGCCUACGAUCUAUAGCUGGUUUUAGAGGAUGAUCAAGCAACACUGGGACUGAGACACGGCCCAGACUCCUACGGGAGGCAGCAGUGGGGAAUCUUAGACAAUGGGGGCAACCCUGAUCUAGCCAUGCCGCGUGAGUGAUGAAGGCCCUAGGGUCGUAAGCUCUUUCGCCUGUGAUGAUAAUGACAGUAGCAGGUAAAGAAACCCCGGCUACUCCGUGCCAGCAGCCGCGGUAAUACGGAG
rnacentral:rRNA from 1 species